GACAAUGGCAGCCCCUGCUGCAAUUCUUUGUGCACCUGCUGUGGUUCUAGAAGGUUCUGGAAGGUUCUGCACAGCUCCAGUGGCUGCAAUCAGCACCAGCUGGAUCUGCAACACCAUCACAAAGCACCUGUGGUCACUCAGCACAGUGCCUGGAGGGGGGAGAAGUUAAGAGAGGAAAAAGCACUGCCUGGCACUGAGAAGUGAGGGGAAGAAGUGUGAGAAGCAGUGAUGUGAGCUCUAGAGGUCUCAGGAACAAAGAAUUGACCUUCGUUGACUUGAAGCCAAACCGCAGCAAUUAGCAGCUGAAAGCAGGAGGAGAGCUGGGGGCGGACAACGGGAGCCAGCAGUUCAGGUUGGUUAUUUCCUCGGUUAUCUGAAGCAGUUGUCUGCAGUGUUACGAGUGGCCUGUUCAUACUGACUCACUGCAGCAUCACUUGGCCUUUCCAGCUCCCUGGGAUGAAAGCUGCUUGCACGGAAGCAUCAAUGUCAAUGUUUGGUUCUACAACCACAGUUGUACUGAAAACAGAAGUUACAGAAUGUGACAGUAUAAAGAUGUGGAAACAAUAUUCAGAAAAGCAGUGCAAAAGAGGCAUUCAGGAAGGCUGAAUGCCAUUGACCACGCUGCAUUACCAGUCUCUGCGUACGACCUUCGCCACUGAAGUGAUCCACAAAUCACCUAUGAAAUCAACUUAUGGCUUUUACCCAUAGAGUAAGAGCAAACUAACGAAUCCAUCUCACACAUGCUGUGUAAAAAGGUACUAUGAUAUUCAGAAAUCUAUCGUUCUGUUUAAUACAAAGCCUCUUAUUAUUUUUCUGUCUCCUGCCUACAAUAAAACAUUUUUUCCAUGUGUUGCUCAGAAA